rnacentral:ncRNA from 2 species
GUCGGCGACACGGGGUGCCGCACCGAAGCGGCUGAGAUCACACCCGUCGAACCUGAUCUGGUCAACACCAGCGUAGGGAUGUCUGCAUCCGCACGG